GAUGAAGAACGCAGCGAAAUGCGAUAAGUAAUGUGAAUUGCAGAAUUCAGUGAAUCAUCGAAUCUUUGAACGCAUCUUGCGCUCCUUGGUAUUCUGAGGAGCAUGCCUGUUUGAGUGUCAUUAAAUUCUCAACUACACUGACUUUGAAUUGGUGUGGCUUGGAUUUGGGGGGAAAAUUGUUGUGGGCUUUUUGUAUAGUCUGCUCCCCUGAAAUUGAUUAGCGGUACCUUUGUGGAACUGUCUACAGGUGUGAUAAUUAUCUACAUCUUAGACAUCUGCUGGAAUGCUGCUUUCUAAACCUUACUUGUAUUGACAAUCUUGACCUCAAAUCAGGUAGGACUACCCGCUGAACUUAAUCAUAUCAAUAAGCGGAGGA
rnacentral:misc_RNA from 1 species